UACCAUUCUAUCUGCCAUCCUCUUCCUUCUUUUUCAAGUGUCCCCCAAAAAUCCUUAGCGCAAUUUAUUGUUGCUUUUUUUUUUUUUUUUUCCCCUGCCAUUUACAGAACCUGCAACAAUUUUGGUGUAGUUAGAUUGCUACCAAAUUUAGUAGUGACGUGGUGAAUAUUGAGAGCUUUUCUCAUUUUCUUUAUUCCGUUUUUUAAAUGUAUUCGGAUUAAUUUAGUGUUUUCUUCAUGGCUUCCUGGAAGAACAUGGAAUUGAGCAUGAAAUCGAAACCAAGGUAUUUUUGAGUGAAAAUAAAAGACAGAGCGAGACAGAGAUGUCGCAGACACAGGCAAUGUGUUCCUUAUUAGGAGUGGACCAUCGAAGAUUUUUGACCAACUCUAACCCUUACAAUAUAAGUGGUACCUACGAAGAAGAUCUUGAAGAAUGGUGCAGCAGGAUCAUUUUGAUUGCCCAUUUGGUUGCUUACAUUGCAGUUUUAUUUUUGGUAGCGAUCAUACUCUUUAUGAUACUCAAGUUUCUCAGCGACGUUAAUUCAAGUCCAGGAGUAACUGAAACCGACCCUAUAAUGCCAAGGAAAACAAUGCCACUAACAUAAGGAACUUGCCCAAAAGAUUUAGAAUCGGGAAGUUGCAGUAAUAGCAGUAGCAGCAAUUACGCUUCGGAGGAGUUGUAUGAUGGAAAAAUAUGCAUAAUGAUGAGCAGCGCAAUUGUUUUUUUGUUCCUUGUGGCCACUGCGCUACCUGCUAUGAUUGUGCCAAAAGGAUUUUUGAUGAGGAAACCAAGACUUGUCCAGUAUGCAGAAGAUGCAUUGGCAAAGUAAGAAAGUUGUUUGCCGCAUAAGAUGGAGACCUCUAAUGAUGAAUAUGGUUACUCUCCUACUGUCCCUUGUGGGUUUCAUCACAAAACCAAGGGUAACAUAAUAACUGUCUCAAUCAGGCAAUGUGGCUAAUUUGGAGUCCUGUUUGCUGUAUUAUAUUGAAAAAUUGUACAUUAUUUUAUUAAUUUAGUUUUUUGGGUUAAAAAAGAAAGUGUCCAUGUCAUGUAUUACUGGGUCCAAAAGAGAUCUCAGCUAGAAGACCCAUCGGGAAGAUUGGACUAUAUAAUUUUGGGCUACACGAAGAAAGAAAAACCUAUACUUCCUAUGUGCCAUUGGGCCGCACCAAUAUUUAGAAACUUUUGGGUCUGACAAAUUUUUGCUCAAAUACUAGUCCAUGUCAAGCCCAAUGAUUUUUCCAGAACUAGGAGAAAAUCUAUGUUACUUCCGACUAUGAACUUCCACACCAUCUAGGGUCUACUUUGUGGAGGCAUCUAUUUGGUAGCUGGCCUAGGUUCUGUUCUGUUCCGUCAAGGAAGAAAUACAUACUUUUCUUCGGAUCUGAAGCCCUUUUUGUAGACCAUUGAAUGUACGCGAAUCAUCGAGUGCGAGUUUUUACGAGCCACAACACAAUGCGUCAUAUGGCUUUUUUCCUCAGGUGAUACAACAUAUUUCCUAACUAAUCCAUAUCCUAUUUUCUCCUUCUUUUACUUUCGGUGCUAUUACUAAGACCAAGUUGUCCUUCUUGACAAAGGUUGACAAGGGACGUACGCUAGGUCCACCAACUUAGCUCUAAUAAUAUUUUUAUUAAUUUUA